CUUAUAUCUUCUCUGCGAUUUUCUUUUUUUUUCUCUGUAAACAGUAAAAAAGAUCUGCGGUAGGUGAUGAAAAAAAUAGUUGAAGGCGAUGGAAACAAAAUCAAUGGCGAUUCUUCUUCUUCUAGAUCCGUUCAAAACGGCGAGGCUCAACGCGAUGGAAACUCCGACGGUGAUGGAAACCAUAAUCAACAACUGCAAGUGAUGAAAACAGUAACAGCAACCGUUGAAGGUGAUGAAAAUGGCAACAAUGGCGAUUUCUUCUUCUCGCGAUUCAGAUCUGUUCAGAACAACGACGCCUCUGCCUGAUUUGAUGAGGAAUUCUAUGUGUUUGUUUCGAUUUAUAGUUUAUUUUGGUUUUGGAUAAUUUUGAUUUAGUGUUUUGAAUAAGAUUUUAGGUUUUCUAUGAUUUAGGGUUCUUAUUGUUCUUAUUCUUCUUCUUUUACGGUUUUUUCGUGUUUGUAUUUAUUUCAUCUUCAGAUCCUCUUCAGAUCUAGAUUCA